CUCAGAUUGAACGCUGGCGGCAGGCUUAACACAUGCAAGUCGAGCGGGGGAAGGUAGCUUGCUACUGGACCUAGCGGCGGACGGGUGAGUAAUGCUUAGGAAUCUGCCUAUUAGUGGGGGACAACAUUCCGAAAGGAAUGCUAAUACCGCAUACGUCCUACGGGAGAAAGCAGGGGACCUUCGGGCCUUGCGCUAAUAGAUGAGCCUAAGUCGGAUUAGCUAGUUGGUGGGGUAAAGGCCUACCAAGGCGACGAUCUGUAGCGGGUCUGAGAGGAUGAUCCGCCACACUGGGACUGAGACACGGCCCAGACUCCUACGGGAGGCAGCAGUGGGGAAUAUUGGACAAUGGGGGGAACCCUGAUCCAGCCAUGCCGCGUGUGUGAAGAAGGCCUUAUGGUUGUAAAGCACUUUAAGCGAGGAGGAGGCUACUAGUAUUAAUACUACUGGAUAGUGGACGUUACUCGCAGAAUAAGCACCGGCUAACUCUGUGCCAGCAGCCGCGGUAAUACAGAGGGUGCGAGCGUUAAUCGGAUUUACUGGGCGUAAAGCGUGCGUAGGCGGCCAUUUAAGUCAAAUGUGAAAUCCCCGAGCUUAACUUGGGAAUUGCAUUCGAUACUGGAUGGCUAGAGUAUGGGAGAGGAUGGUAGAAUUCCAGGUGUAGCGGUGAAAUGCGUAGAGAUCUGGAGGAAUACCGAUGGCGAAGGCAGCCAUCUGGCCUAAUACUGACGCUGAGGUACGAAAGCAUGGGGAGCAAACAGGAUUAGAUACCCUGGUAGUCCAUGCCGUAAACGAUGUCUACUAGCCGUUGGG
rnacentral:rRNA from 1 species